CUGAGAGGAUGAUCAGUCACACUGGAACUGAGACACGGUCCAGACUCCUACGGGAGGCAGCAGUGGGGAAUAUUGGACAAUGGGCGAAAGCCUGAUCCAGCCAUGCCGCGUGUGUGAAGAAGGUCUUCGGAUUGUAAAGCACUUUAAGUUGGGAGGAAGGGCAGUAAGUUAAUACCUUGCUGUUUUGACGUUACCGACAGAAUAAGCACCGGCUAACUCUGUGCCAGCAGCCGCGGUAAUACAGAGGGUGCAAGCGUUAAUCGGAAUUACUGGGCGUAAAGCGCGCGUAGGUGGUUCGUUAAGUUGGAUGUGAAAUCCCCGGGCUCAACCUGGGAACUGCAUCCAAAACUGGCGAGCUAGAGUACGGUAGAGGGUGGUGGAAUUUCCUGUGUAGCGGUGAAAUGCGUAGAUAUAGGAAGGAACACCAGUG
rnacentral:rRNA from 1 species